GGUUGUGGCUCAGAGGUAAAGUGCUCACCUAGCAUGCAAGAGGCACUGGGUUUGAUUCUCAGGACCA
rnacentral:tRNA from 1 species